GCGACCCAGAGAGGGAGGGAGGGAGAUGGCAUCAGCGGGAGACAUAGUGUUCAAGGGAUUGACGGCGGCGCUGGGAGCGACGACGCUCUACUUGGCUGCCACCUUCUCCAUCAACCUCUACCGCGGCAUCUCCUGGCACACUGCUCAAUCCAAGUUGGAGAAAAGAAAAAUCUGAGGCAUGAAGCAGGCGAACAGAGGAAGACUACGUAGUAUUCCACACGGAAUAUUGGUCAGUAGGAUAAUAAUCCAUUCUAUUCCUAUGUUAUUUUGUUCAAGUCGGUAAUGAUGCUUAGACAUCAGCUUCGUUGUGGCAUAUUAACGAUGUUAAAAAGAUAGAUAUCAGCACUGCCGUUAAUGCUGCAUUUCUAUCGGCCGAUUUAAAGUCACCUUAUUAUUUCUGGGUGACUAUUUUUGCCUAAUAAGGAUGUGUCUAAAAAACAAUGCACUGUCUGUUUUAUAAGGGGCUUUUUUUUAAUUAACUGCAUGCAUAAAUCUUUCCCCUCGAAGGGAAGAA